rnacentral:rRNA from 1 species
AACCUACGGGACGCAGCAGUGGGGAAUAUUGCACAAUGGGGGGAACCCUGAUGCAGCGACGCCGCGUGGGUGAAGGAGCACCUCGGUGCGUAAAGCCCUAUCGGCAGGGAAGAAACAGACGGUACCUGACUAAGAAGCCCCGGCUAACUACGUGCCAGCAGCCGCGGUAAAACGUAGGGUGCAAGCGUUGUCCGGAAUUACUGGGUGUAAAGGGAGCGCAGGCGGAUUGACAAGUU